rnacentral:rRNA from 1 species
GAUGAACGCUGGCGGCGUGCCUAAUACAUGCAAGUCGAGCGAACGGACGAGAAGCUUGCUUCUCUGAUGUUAGCGGCGGACGGGUGAGUAACACGUGGAUAACCUACCUAUAAGACUGGGAUAACUUCGGGAAACCGUAGCUAAUACCGGAUAAUAUUUUGAACCGCAUGGUUCAAAAGUGAAAGACGGUCUUGCUGUCACUUAUAGAUGGUUCCGCGCUGCAUUAGCUAGUUGGUAAGGCAACGGCUUACCAAGGCAACGAUGCAUAGCCGACCUGAGAGGGUGAUCGGCCACACUGGAACUGAGACACGGUCCAGACUCCUACGGGAGGCAGCAGUAGGGAAUCUUCCGCAAUGGGCGAAAGCCUGACGGAGCAACGCCGCGUGAGUGAUGAAGGUCUUCGGAUCGUAAAACUCUGUUAUUAGGGAAGAACAUAUGUGUAAGUAACUGUGCACAUCUUGACGGUACCUAAUCAGAAAGCCACGGCUAACUACGUG